rnacentral:rRNA from 1 species
AGAGUUUGAUCCUGGCUCAGGAUGAACGCUGGCGGCGUGCUUAACACAUGCAAGUCGAACGAUGAUCCGGUGCUUGCACCGGGGAUUAGUGGCGAACGGGUGAGUAACACGUGAGUAACCUGCCCUUGACUCUGGGAUAAGCCUGGGAAACUGGGUCUAAUACCGGAUAUGACUCCUCAUCGCAUGGUGGGGGGUGGAAAGCUUUUUGUGGUUUUGGAUGGACUCGCGGCCUAUCAGCUUGUUGGUGAGGUAAUGGCUCACCAAGGCGACGACGGGUAGCCGGCCUGAGAGGGUGACCGGCCACACUGGGACUGAGACACGGCCCAGACUCCUACGGGAGGCAGCAGUGGGGAAUAUUGCACAAUGGGCGAAAGCCUGAUGCAGCGACGCCGCGUGAGGGAUGACGGCCUUCGGGUUGUAAACCUCUUUCAGUAGGGAAGAAGCGAAAGUGACGGUACCUGCAGAAGAAGCGCCGGCUAACUACGUGCCAGCAGCCGCGGUAAUACGUAGGGCGCAAGCGUUAUCCGGAAUUAUUGGGCGUAAAGAGCUCGUAGGCGGUUUGUCGCGUCUGCCGUGAAAGUCCGGGGCUCAACUCCGGAUCUGCGCUGGGUACGGGCAGACUAGAGUGAUGUAGGGGAGACUGGAAUUCCUGGUGUAGCGGUGAAAUGCGCAGACAUCAGGAGGAACACCGAUGGCGAAGGCAGGUCUCUGGGCAUUAACUGACGCUGAGGAGCGAAAGCAUGGGGAGCGAACAGGAUUAGAUACCCUGGUAGUCCAUGCCGUAAACGUUGGGCACUAGGUGUGGGGGACAUUCCACGUUUUCCGCGCCGUAGCUAACGCAUUAAGUGCCCCGCCUGGGGAGUACGGCCGCAAGGCUAAAACUCAAAGGAAUUGACGGGGGCCC